rnacentral:snoRNA from 1 species
UGGAGGACUGAGAAGGUAAGACAGUUAAAACUUUAUGCUGUAUCUUACUGGUUAUAGCCUCCAAAAUUAUAAUAGCACAACAGCAAUUCAUGUUCCCCUCGACAUGAGGGAAAGCAGUACUGCAUUUG